rnacentral:lncRNA from 1 species
UACAUUACCAUCUUAUUGGCUUUCCGGGUGACGAAAAUGGGUAGCUUAACUUUCUUAUAAUUGAGUUAUGCUAUGUGGGUUUGUUGUGGUGAUUAAAUACUGAUGGCAGUGUCUAAUGAGAUGAUGAGGGAACUCUAUCUAUGCGAAAAUGCAUGGUGUAUUUCGUGUUUAAAGAUUUUUAUGCAAGUUUUAUUGUAUUACGUUGUUUUAUUAAUAUUACUGUCUCCCAAUAUUUGAGUUCUUGUGUUUAUCGAAUGAUAGAAAAGAGUUUACCCUGAUUUAUGGUUUUGAUUGAGAUGUAAUGGAUAUUUUUAUUUGAUUAUAGGUUGGCAAGUCAAAACUUGACCUUGGUGCCUGCAAGGAAGAAGUCAAGAAGAUUGACUAGGAAACAAGAUCUGUUGGUAAGAAUUCCUUCCCAACGAAAACUUUAAUACUGAUUAAUGUCAUAAACUUGUUGGUUCAUUUUUUUUUUAUUUAAAUUUUCAUUUGCCUGGGCAUGUUUGCUGUACUAUUAUUCAUGAAUUGGGAAUUGAUCUUUGAAUGAGUAUUGGAAUCAAAUAAUGACGAAAGUAUAUAAUGAACAGUUGAAUGUUCUUUGGCCAAAAUAAAUUCACUUUGGCAUGACU